CCGAUGCCGCGUGAGUGAAGAAGGCCUUCGGGUUGUAAAGCUCUUUCAGCCGGAAGAAAGCGCACUCUCUAACAUAGGGUGUGGAUGACGGUACCGGAAGAAGAAGCACCGGCUAACUACGUGCCAGCAGCCGCGGUAAUACGUAGGGUGCGAGCGUUAAUCGGAAUUACUGGGCGUAAAGGGUGCGCAGGCGGUUUUGUAAGACAGAUGUGAAAUCCCCGGGCUUAACCUGGGAACUGCGUUUGUGACUGCAAGGCUAGAGUACGGCAGAGGGGGGUGGAAUUCCGCGUGUAGCAGUGAAAUGCGUAGAUAUGCGGAGGAACACCGAUGGCGAAGGCAACCCCCUGGGCCUGUACUGACGCUCAUGCACGAAAGCGUGGGGAGCAAACAGGAUUAGAUACCCUGGUAGUCCACGCCCUAAACGAUGUCAACUAGUCGUUCGGAGCAGCAAUGCACUGAGUGACGCAGCUAACGCGUGAAGUUGACCGCCUGGGGAGUACGGCCGCAAGGUUAAAAACUCAAAGGAAUUGACGGGGAC
rnacentral:rRNA from 1 species